UCGGCGAGCGGCGGACGGCUGAGUAACGCGCUGGGAAUCUACCCUAAAGUGAGGGAUAACCGCCCGAAAGGGUGGCUAAUACCGCAUAUGAUCUUCGGAUUAAAGGAUUUAUCCGCUUUAGGAAGAGCCCGCGUUAGAUUAGGUAGUUGGUAGGGUAAUGGCCUACCAAGCCAACGAUCUAUAGCUGGUCUGAGAGGAUGAUCAGCCAGACUGGAACUGAGACACGGUCCAGACUCCUACGGGAGGCAGCAGUGAGGAAUCUUCCACAAUGGGCGAAAGCCUGAUGGAGCAACGCCGCGUGAAGGAUGAAGGCCUUCGGGUUGUAAACUUCUUUUAUGAGUGAAGAAUAUGACGGUAACUCAUGAAUAAGCACCGGCUAACUACGUGCCAGCAGCCGCGGUCAUACGUAGGGUGCAAGCAUUAUCCGGAGUGACUGGGCGUAAAGAGUUGCGUAAGCGGUUUAAUAAGUGAAUAGUGAAACCUGGUGGCUCAACCAUACAGACUAUUAUUCAACUGUUAAACUCGAGAGUAGUAGAGGUAACUGGAAUUUCUAGUGUAGGAGU
rnacentral:rRNA from 1 species